rnacentral:rRNA from 1 species
GACGAACGCUGGCGGCGUGCUUAACACAUGCAAGUCGAACGGAAAGGCCCUGCUUUUGUGGGGUGCUCGAGUGGCGAACGGGUGAGUAACACGUGAGUAACCUGCCCUUGACUUUGGGAUAACUUCAGGAAACUGGGGCUAAUACCGGAUAGGAGCUCCUGCUGCAUGGUGGGGGUUGGAAAGUUUCGGCGGUUGGGGAGGGACUCGCGGCUUAUCAGCUUGUUGGUGGGGUAGUGGCUUACCAAGGCUUUGACGGGUAGCCGGCCUGAGAGGGUGACCGGCCACAUUGGGACUGAGAUACGGCCCGGACUCCUACGGGAGGCAGCAGUGGGGAAUAUUGCACAAUGGGCGGAAGCCUGAUGCAGCAACGCAGCGUGCGGGAUGACGGCCGUCGGGUUGUAAACCGCUUUCGCCUGUGACGAAGCGUGAGUGACGGUAAUGGGUAAAGAAGCACCGGCUAACUACGUG